UCCUUUCCCUGCUCUUUUUUAAUUUAGAGGUCUGAUGCACUUCACACGGUAUUGAUUUUUACUCAUUCAUGGACAAUUGAGUCUUUACUCUUUUUAAGGAUAGGUGUCCUUUCACGUUGUAUUUAUUUCCAAUCCCCCCUCAUGGUCUACCCACAAUAGACUGCUCUUUCACAUAGUAUCGUUUUCCAAUAAUUGUUCACUCGCAAUAAUAGACCCAUUAUCUCCCUUCCAACAAUAGUCCAUUGUAUUUAGGGUCCUCCGACAUCAUUGAGUGUCCUUCCCCUUACUCUUUUUAAGGACAAGGUGCCCUUUCACGCUGUAUUGAUGUCUAAUCCACAACAAUAAACAUCUCUGUGAUGAAGUUAAUUUUCAUUUUGUUAGUUUUUUGUGGUGUUGUCUGUAAAUAGUUGUUUAUGCUUGUAAGGUGUUUCCAUAGUGUGAGUGUUGGUCGAUAAGGCUAUUUUUAGCAUACCGGUUUGGUCAGUCAGAGUAGCGGCUGUUUGUCAAGCGUGCGGCCACGUUUUCAUGCUGUCCAGCAGGGGUCUUUUCUUGGCGAAUUCCAGAAGUUAGUCUGGGUAAUGGGUAGCCAGAGAGACAAACAUUUUACUGUGUGGGCAUAGGUUUUCUCCAGCCGUGCAGAGGGGAUUUAAGAAGCUAUCUGGGCCAUAUCAGUCAGUACUCUCAGCAUUUCAGUAGGUGCUCGGCGUGGGAAGCAUUUCAGUAGGUGCUCGGCGUGGGAAUCAGAACACGUGAGACAGUGCUGUAUGCACAUGGGUGUUCCACGUGGUGGACUUGACAAUUAUUUUGUGAGCCUAGUGUUGCCAUUGGUUUGAAGUCGGCGUUACCCAGUAUCGUUGUUCAGUGAGAGACCUGUGAGUCCGGGACUGGAAGCGGAGGGGCUUUUCGAGCUGUAUGGAGGCCUGGUUGUGCCAAGUGUGACGUUGCGUUAAAUUGAAUUGUGCUGAGUAGCCAAACUUUCAUAUUGUGUUUCAGUAAACUAACAUUUUAUCAAAAAGGAAUUUGAGAAAUUUGUAUAAAACGUAAUUUACUACUGUUUAACUUUUUCUGUAGUUAGCGGAAUUAGCGACUAUUCGAACCAUUAUGUAAUAUAUUUAUUACCAGUUAUAUUUUCAGCCUGGAAUGACAUACUUGUUGUAUUAACUAUUGAAUUGUCUUGACAGUUAUACGUUAUAUUGAUUGUCAAUAUUGCCAGGUUUAUAAUACCAAUUUAUAUUUCUUUCUCGGUGAGAGAGUAUGGGUGUGUGAAUGUGAAAGUGUGAUUUCUUUGUUUUUCAAACAUCUCUAUAUUUCUUAUCUUAUUGCUAAAUAAAUUUUCUUUUUAUUUAU